UACGUAGGGGGCGAGCGUUGUCCGGAUUCAUUGGGCGUAAAGCGCUUUAAGGCGGUUCGCUAAGUCGGGUGUGAAACCUCCAGGCUCAACCUGGAGACGCCACUCGAUACUGGCGUGACUAGAGUCCGGUAGGGGACCACGGAAUUCCUGGUGUAGCGGUGAAAUGCGCAGAUAUCAGGAGGAACACCAGUGGCGAAGGCGGUGGUCUGGGCCAUUACUGAGGCUGAGGAGCGAAAGCGUGGGGAGCGAACAGG
rnacentral:rRNA from 1 species